rnacentral:rRNA from 1 species
CGUUGCACUAUCGUUUGAUGAAUACAUAGUCAAACGAAGCGAACCGGGGGAACUGAAACAUCUCAGUACCCCGAGGAAAAGAAAUCAACCGAGAUUCCCCUAGUAGCGGCGAGCGAACGGGGAGCAGCCCAGAGUCUUAAUCAGCAUUAGCAUCAGGAGAACGGUCUGGAAAGUCCGGCAGUAAAGGGUGAUAGCCCCGUAUCCGAAGGUGUUAGUGUUGUGAACUCGACGAGUAGGGCGGGACACGUGUUAUCCUGUCUGAAUAUGGGGGGACCAUCCUCCAAGGCUAAAUACUCCUGAUUGACCGAUAGUGAACCAGUACCGUGAGGGAAAGGCGAAAAGAACCCCGGCGAGKGGAGUGAAAUAGAACCUGAAACCGUGUACGUACAAGCAGUGGGAGCCUUGAUUUAUCAGGGUGACUGCGUACCUUUUGUAUAAUGGGUCAGCGACUUAUAUUCUGUAGCAAGGUUAACCGWAUAGGGGAGCCGUAGGGAAACCGAGUCUUAACUGGGCGAAUAAGUUGCAGGGUAUAGACCCGAAACCCGGUGAUCUAGCCAUGGGCAGGUUGAAGGUUGGGUAACACUAACUGGAGGACCGAACCGACUAAUGUUGAAAAAUUAGCGGAUGACUUGUGGCUGGGGGUGAAAGGCCAAUCAAACCGGGAGAUAGCUGGUUCUCCCCGAAAGCUAUUUAGGUAGCGCCUCGUGAACUCAUCUUCGGGGGUAGAGCACUGUUUCGACUAGGGGGUCAUCCCGACUUACCAACUCGAUGCAAACUACGAAUACCGAAGAAUGUUAUCACGGGAGACACACGGCGGGUGCUAACGUUCGUCGUGAAGAGGGAAACAACCCAGACCGCCAGCUAAGGUCCCAAAGUCAUAGUUAAGUGGGAAACGAAGUGGGAAGGCUCAGACAGCCAGGAUGUUGGCUUAGAAGCAGCCAUCAUUUAAAGAAAGCGUAAUAGCUCACUGGUCGAGUCGGCCUGCGCGGAAGAUGUAACGGGGCUAAACUAUGCACCGAAGCUGCGGCAGCGAUAUUUAGAUAUUGUUGGGUAGGGGAGCGUUCUGUAAGCCUGUGAAGGUGUGCUGUGAGGCAUGCUGGAGGUAUCAGAAGUGCGAAUGCUGACAUAAGUAACGAUAAUGCGGGUGAAAAACCCGCACGCCGGAAGACCAAGGGUUCCUGUCCAACGUUAAUCGGGGCAGGGUGAGUCGACCCCUAAGGCGAGGCAGAAAUGCGUAGUCGAUGGGAAACGGGUUAAUAUUCCCGUACUGGUGAUAAUUGCGAUGGGGGGACGGAGAAGGCUAGGCUAUCCGGGCGACGGUUGUCCCGGUUUAAGGAUGUAGGCAGGUGAAUUAGGCAAAUCCGGUUCACUAUAUGCUGAGGUCCGAUGACGAGUCACUACGGUGAUGAAGUAGCUCAUGCCCCGCUUCCAGGAAAAGCCUCUAAGCUCUAGAUUAUCAUUAAUCGUACCCCAAACCGACACAGGUGGUCAGGUAGAGAAUACUCAGGCGCUUGAGAGAACUCGGGUGAAGGAACUAGGCAAAAUGGUGCCGUAACUUCGGGAGAAGGCACGCUGGCAUUAGGUGAAGUGAUUUACUCAUGGAGCUGAAGCCAGUCGCAGAUACCAGCUGGCUGCAACUGUUUAUUAAAAACACAGCACUGUGCAAACACGAAAGUGGACGUAUACGGUGUGACGCCUGCCCGGUGCUGGAAGGUUAAUUGAUGGGGUUAUCCGUAAGGAGAAGCUCUUGAUCGAAGCCCCAGUAAACGGCGGCCGUAACUAUAACGGUCCUAAGGUAGCGAAAUUCCUUGUCGGGUAAGUUCCGACCUGCACGAAUGGCGUAAUGAUGGCCAGGCUGUCUCCACCCGAGACUCAGUGAAAUUGAACUCGCUGUGAAGAUGCAGUGUACCCGCGGCAAGACGGAAAGACCCCGUGAACCUUUACUAUAGCUUGACACUGAACAUUGAGCCUUGAUGUGUAGGAUAGGUGGGAGGCUUYGAAGYGUGGACGCCAGUCUGCRUGGAGCCAACCUUGAAAUACCACCCUUUAAUGUUUGAUGUUCUAACGUUGCCCCAUUAUCUGGGGUGCGGACAGUGUCUGGUGGGUAGUUUGACUGGGGCGGUCUCCUCCCAAAGAGUAACGGAGGAGCACGAAGGUUGGCUAAGCAUGGUCGGACAUCAUGCGGUUAGUGCAAAGGCAUAAGCCAGCUUGACUGCGAGAGUGACGGCUCGAGCAGGUACGAAAGUAGGUCUUAGUGAUCCGGUGGUUCUGAAUGGAAGGGCCAUCGCUCAACGGAUAAAAGGUACUCCGGGGAUAACAGGCUGAUACCGCCCAAGAGUUCAUAUCGACGGCGGUGUUUGGCACCUCGAUGUCGGCUCAUCACAUCCUGGGGCUGAAGUAGGUCCCAAGGGCUGUCCCUUAUACACAUCU